rnacentral:pre_miRNA from 1 species
UUAACUGAAAUUUGUAUGGAGUUGCAACGUUUGCCGCUAGGGGCGCUGUUCCAACUGCAUACAAAUUUGAGUUU